AAAAGAUAAUAAAAAUUGGCAAAGAAAAAUGCAUUCAUUUGCUCUGCAUCAAUCAAAGCUGGGGGCAUCCUAAGAAGCACCAUCAAAAGGGAAGUUUUGAAGGGUAAUCAUGGAAAGGAUCCAGCAAAGGGUACGCAAGACUUCAAACAGUACCGAGGCAAAGCCGAUUGAAGGGGUUAUAGCCGAUUGUGCAUAAGAGAAGUAAGGCGAAUUUUAGUUGGUUAACGACUAGAAUCAAAAUUUGAUAAAUUAAGACUUAGGAGGCCUAGUCAUUUUCGAUAUCGAUAUAAAAAUCAAAUUUUAAUAGGUAGUAGUUAUAAUUAGUUAUGGCUAAAAUAUGUUUUAGCUGUUUAACAAAUUAGUUACCGUAAAGCUAAUAAUUUAAUUAAUAAAUGAUCUUAUANNNN
rnacentral:lncRNA from 1 species